CCUGCCAGUAGUCAUAUGCUUGUCUCAAAGAUUAAGCCAUGCAUGUCUAAGUAUAAACUGAUUUUAUACGGUGAAACUGCGAAUGGCUCAUUAAAUCAGUUAUAGUUUAUCCGAUUGUGCCGUUGUGAAUCGGAUUACCGUCCGGUUCGCUCCUACUUGGAUAACCGUGGUAAUUCUAGGGCUAAUACAUGCAAAAAAGGCCGACUGGAGGGGGAAAGGGUAAGGGGGUAUGGGCUUGCUCGUGCCUACCGCCCCUCCCAUUCUUCGGAAGGCCUGCAUUUAUUGGAACUAAAAACCAAUGCGGGGCCCCGUGCAGUUCGGCGUCAAAAACCGGACGGCGGGGACAAAACCCCGGCUAUACGCAUCGGUGAUUCACAAUAACUGCGCGAAUCGCAUGGCCUUCUUAGCGCCGGCGAUGGAUCGGACGAAUUUCUGCCCUAUCAACUAGAUGGUAGGAUAGAGGCCUACCAUGGUGAUAACGGGUAACGGAGAAUUAGGGUUCGAUUCCGGAGAGGGAGCCUGAGAAACGGCUACCACUUCCAAGGAAGGCAGCAGGCGCGUAAAUUAUCCAAUCCCAAUUCGGGGAGAUAGUGACAAGAAAUACUGAUGUAGGGCCUUUUGGGUUCUACUAUCGGAAUGAGUACAACUUAAAACCAUUAGCGAGGAACAAUUGGAGGGCAAGUCUGGUGCCAGCAGCCGCGGUAAUUCCAGCUCCAAGAGUGUAUAUUAAAGUUGUUGCGGUUAAAAAGCUCGUAGUUGACUUUAGGACUUGAGUACAUCGGUACUUCGUAGCUGUAAAAGGUUGCGGGGAAUUAAUGCCGGGUAAUUAUCUUGUCCUAUUCUGGGAGACAUUAAAACACGGUAGAAAAUACUGUGGUUUCUUAGGAUUUACUUUGAAUGAAUUAGAGUGUUUAAAGCAGACGAAAUCCGUCUUGAAUAAUUUAGCAUGGGAUAAUGAAAUAUGACCAUUUGCUCACGAUUCGUUGGUUUCUAGAGCAUUGGUAAUGACUAAUAGGGAUGGUCGGGGUCGUCCAUAUUCUGCGGUCAGAGGUGAAAUUCUAAGACCCGCAGAGGAUGAACAAAUGCGAAGGCAUUCGACAAGGACGUCUUCAUUAAUCAAG
rnacentral:rRNA from 1 species